CCUAUCUCUGCACUUCCUGGAGCCUAUGCAAACCCCCUCCCUACAGCUCCACAAGUUCAAGGGCCAGAGAACACAGGAGAGGACAGGCGGGGUCCAUCCUGGGCUGGGGUCUUAGAGGUUUUGCUCAUCUGGAAAUAUCCUAAAGCUUCCAUUUGUUUGUGUAAGGACAGCGUGAUGGGGACUUCAGGUGCAAUGAGGGAGUCGGGAUGAGGGCAGGUGGUUGCAAGGGCAAAUUCCUCUGGAGGGAAGGAAGGAACAUGAGGAAGAGCCCCAGUCCAUACGGAAUGUGGAGGAUGGUCCCAAUCCCCCAGGAAGCGGAACUGGAGCUCAGCCAGCUCUACUUAAUGAAUUAAGUCUGAAGAAGGUAAGUACAGACACAUCAGCUGCAAAUCCAGAUCCUCUUCCUGCUCAUAUCAGCUUUUCCGAGAACAAAUUUGCAUCUGCUUGAUUCUGCUGCCAUCUACUGGGAAAAACAAAAACAAAAAUUAAACUACAGAGGGAGGAAAUAAACAUCCUCUCUAAUCUCAGUAUGCUUUGACCUACUCUGAAAUGUGGAAUUAAAC
rnacentral:lncRNA from 1 species